UACAGAGGUCUCAAGCGUUGUUCGGAUUCAUUGGGCGUAAAGGGUGCGUAGGUGGCGCCAUAAGUCAGGUGUGAAAUCUCGGGGCUUAACUCCGAAACUGCAUUUGAUACUGUGGUGCUUGAGGACUGGAGAGGAGACUGGAAUUCACGGUGUAGCAGUGAAAUGCGUAGAGAUCGUGAGGAAGACCAGUGGCGGAAGGCGGGUCUCUGGACAGUUCCUGACACUGAGGCACGGAAG
rnacentral:rRNA from 1 species